rnacentral:lncRNA from 1 species
AGAAACACAAGCAAGACAAAAUCAAAUAAUAAAGCAUAGGUACUCCCACAAAAGUAAUGUAAAUAGUUAUGAAAACAUAAGCAACAUAAAUACAGCCGCAUGCAGUAAUAUCAAGCAGGAACUACCAUUCUAAAACACUAAUCACCUAUAAGCCCCUAACCUACAAUCUUGAUUCUAGACCUCCAGACUCCCCUAUCAAGAGUCAUG